rnacentral:lncRNA from 1 species
UUGCUUACCCAUUGAUCACCCAUCUCAUCUCCGUUAACCUAAACUAACGGAAUGUGCCACGUGGCGAACGAAAAUCCACGUGGCACAUGCGUUAAAUGAAAUCAAAUAUACAAUCCCAUGUGGCACAUGAAAUGGCAACAAUAGUCAUCUUCUCCUUUCCGUCUCUCUACGAGUCUUCGACCAUGGAGUUCCUCCAUGAAUAUGACAGUAGACCCAGAUUCCAAUUCCAAUCAAAGACAUUAGCCAAAUCCUCUAACGCCAUCGAAUCCGACACAAACCAUCCUUCUAUUCAUAGGACUGCCAUUUUCUUUUCCCUCUUUCUUUCCAUAUCCAUUUUCAGUCUUGCAUUCAUUUAACUAUGUAACUCCAGAAAAAGCAAACUUCAUGCUUUCUUUUUCCACAAUUACACUCGCUAAAACAUUCUCUAUUGUCUCACUAAAAUUAGUACAAAUAAUCCGUGUGCCUGAUAUCCAUGUCUGCCUUGGUCCAGCUCUUAAAGAUGGGAUUGAAAUUCCUGUUGAAAUAAGUUAGAAAAUCAAUAGGAGAUCGACGAAAAUACUUGAAAGAUCGCCAGAAUAUGUUGCAAAAUUUGAUGGGUCAUUGGAGAAAUCAAUGAGUGUUGCUGAUUAAAUGAUGAAUUUGGAGAAAAGUGAGGAGAAUGGAAAUGGGUCUUUUGUAAAUCUGGAGAAAAAUGGGGAAAGGGAGUGGAGUGUGGCAAACGAUGAGUUACCUGGAAAAUGAUUCGAGGAGAAGGCGGGAGCUCGACUAGGGGUAGAAAACGGUGGUAGUCAUCGUGGGGAGCAAACGACGGCUUCAUGAAUUCGAAUGGGAGGUGCCGCCUACAGUUGUCGGAGAGGCGUCUUCUGCUGGUAGAUGAUUUGGUGAAAAAAA